CGCAUCUAGUAGAGUUUUGUGCAUGGGUGUGUAGCACGCCACACUUAUGGACAUGAGGCCACGAGAUAUUUUAGGAAUAGUUUCCCUUAUUUCAGUAUUCAUGUCGUAUGAGUGAGCAUGAGCUCCAGUCAAAAUCUCUAUAUAAUCCAAGUGUCUCCUCCUUUUACAGAUUAUGCCUCCCAAAAGAACUAAGAAAAGAGAAAUAGGAGACCAGCCAGAACCCCAG
rnacentral:lncRNA from 1 species